rnacentral:lncRNA from 1 species
UGAAAGUGGCUGAAAUGAAAAAAAAAAAUUACUUUUAUAAAAUCAAAUUUUAUAAAAGUAACUUUUAAGUUUAGAGUAAUGUUUCUAUACUUUUUUUUUUUCUGUUACCGUUCAUUCACUCCCAUUCAACGGUUUAGAUUUAAUUUUCUUAAAAUUGUGACCUGCAAUAGCAGGUCACUUUGGGAGAGGCACCGGUUACCAGAUACCUCAAAAAGGAUAUUUUUGUCUUUUAAUACAUGAGCAAUUUAGUCAUUUUAUCUCAACUAUAUGAUCAAAAUUUUUAUUCUUUCUUUAUUUUUUUUUUCCUCUCUAUCUUUCCUCUCAUAUUUUGGCAUUUCAUAUAAGAAAAGUUUCAAAUUAUUUGACAAUAAGAAUGUGAAAUUAUUUUGUGGACCAAUUAUGGAUUUUGUCUAUAUCCAUCUUGAAUCCGACCCGAAUCAUAUAUAAAGUUUCAUAUUAUAUUCAAAUUUAUAUUUUAAAAAUUUAAAUUAAAUAUAAAAUAUUUUGAAAUAUGGUAAAGAGAAAUAACUGUUCCGAGUUCCGGUCUUCGGGUCUGGGUUCUGUUUUCGGUUUCAAAAAAUUGGUCAGUUUCAAGUUUAGAUAUGGAUUUUUGAAAUCCGUCAAGUUCAGAAAUAAGUUUUGUGAUUAUUAGUCGGGUUCGAAUUCAAAUUCCUAACCCUUUUUUCUAAACAAUAAUCCUAAUCUUUUUAAUUUUUAUAUUUAAAAUUAUGUUUAAAUUAUUAUUAGCUUUAACCGUUAUCAUUCUGUUUAAACCAUUUA